UACAGAGGUGGCAAGCGUUGUUCGGAUUCAUUGGGCGUAAAGGGUUCGUAGGCGGUUCGUAAAGUUGGAUGUGAAAGCCCACAGCUUAACUGUGGAACUGCAUUCAAAACUCACGGACUUGAGUGUGAGAGGGGUAAAGGGAAUUCCUGGUGUAAGGGUGAAAUCUGCAGAGAUCAGGAAGAAAACCAGUCGCGAAGGCGCUUUACUGGCUCAUUACUGACGCUGAGGGACGAAAGCUAGGGUAGCGAACGGG
rnacentral:misc_RNA from 1 species